rnacentral:rRNA from 1 species
CCUACGGGGGGCUGCAGCGGGGAAUAUUGGACAAUGGGGGGAACCCUGAUCCAGCCAUGCCGCGUGUGUGAAGAAGGCCCUCGGGUUGUAAAGCACUUUCAGUGAGGAAGAACGCCUGGUGGUUAAUACCCAUCAGGAAAGACAUCACUCACAGAAGAAGCACCGGCUAACUCCGUGCCAGCAGCCGCGGUAAUACGGAGGGUGCGAGCGUUAAUCGGAAUUACUGGGCGUAAAGCGCGCGUAGGUGGCUUGAUAAGCCGGUUGUGAAAGCCCCGGGCUCAACCUGGGAACGGCAUCCGGAACUGUCAAGCUAGAGUGCAGGAGAGGAAGGUAGAAUUCCCGGUGUAGCGGUGAAAUGCGUAGAGAGCGGGAGGAAUACCAGUGGCGAAGGCGGCCUUCUGGACUGACACUGACACUGAGGUGCGAAAGCGUGGGUAGCAAACAGGAUUAGAUACCCCUGUAGUC